GACGAACGCUGGCGGCAGGCCUAACACAUGCAAGUCGAGCGGAGCGGCGGACGGGUGAGUAAUGCCUAGGAAUCUGCCUGGGAGUGGGGGAUAACGUCCGGAAACGGGAGCUAAUACUGCAUACUCUCAGCUGAGCCUAGGUCGGAUUAGCUAGUUGGUGGGGUAAAGGCCUACCAAGGCGACGAUCCGUAACUGGUCUGAGAGGAUGAGCAGUCACACUGGAACUGAGACACGGUCCAGACUCCUACGGGAGGCGGCAGUGGGGAAUAUUGGACAAUGGGCGAAAGCCUGAUCCAGCCAUGCCGCGUGUGUGAAGAAGGUCUUCGGAUUGUAAAGCACUUUAAGUUGGGAGGCGUUACCAGCAGAAUAAGCACCGGCUAACUUCGUGCCAGCAGCCGCGGUAAUUC
rnacentral:rRNA from 1 species